AACCCAUUAUGAAGUCACAUUCUCAAAAGAUCCUUAAAUCUCUCCCAUGCAUCAUGUAAUGUUUCCAAAUCAAUUUGAGCAAAAGAAGAGAUAUUGAUUCUCAACUU
rfam:Gossypium hirsutum cultivar TM-1 chromosome 18, whole genome shotgun sequence